rnacentral:tRNA from 1 species
CGGGGAGUAGCGCAGCCUGGCAAGCGCACCUCGCUUGGGACGAGGGGGUCGCUGGUUCAAAUCCAGUCUCCCCGA